UGGGGAAUUUUGGACAAUGGGCGAAAGCCUGAUCCAGCAAUGCCGCGUGUGUGAAGAAGGCCUUCGGGUUGUAAAGCACUUUUGUCCGGAAAGAAAUCCUUGGCUCUAAUACAGUCGGGGGAUGACGGUACCGGAAGAAUAAGCACCGGCUAACUACGUGCCAGCAGCCGCGGUAAUACGUAGGGUGCAAGCGUUAAUCGGAAUUACUGGGCGUAAAGCGUGCGCAGGCGGUUUGCUAAGACCGAUGUGAAAUCCCCGGGCUCAACCUGGGAACUGCAUUGGUGACUGGCAGGCUAGAGUAUGGCAGAGGGGGGUAGAAUUCCACGUGUAGCAGUGAAAUGCGUAGAGAUGUGGAGGAAUACCGAUGGCGAAGGCAGCCCCCUGGGCCAAUACUGACGCUCAUGCACGAAAGCGUGGGGGAGCAAACAGGAUUAGAUACCCCUGGUAGUCCACGCCCUAAACGAUGUCAACUAGUUGUUGGGGAUUCAUUUCCUUAGUAACGUAGCUAACGCGUGAAGUUGACCGCCU
rnacentral:rRNA from 1 species